GUUCUUGUAGUUAAAGCGUUUAACGGCAGUUUUUCAGGCUGCAGAUCUCGGUUAAAGGGCCGGGCGGGAACU
rnacentral:tRNA from 2 species